rnacentral:rRNA from 1 species
AGAGUUCGAUUAUGGCUCAGGACGAACGCUGGCGGUGCGCCUUAUGCAUGCAAGUUGAGCGAAGCUUUUCAGUAGUUUACUACAGAAAAUGACUGAGCGGCGAACGGGUGAGUAACGCGUGAGCAAUCUACCUUAGUUACUGGGAUAGCCCGAGGAAACUCGGAUUAAUACCGGAUAUUCUUAUUUUUUCACAUGAAGUUUUAAGGAAAGGUCAGCCGAACUAAGAUGAGCUCGCGUUCUAUCAGCUAGUUGGUGGGGUAAAAGCCUACCAAGGCUACGACGGAUAGCUGGUCUGAGAGGACGAUCAGCCACACUGGGACUGAGACACGGCCCAGACUCCUACGGGAGGCUGCAGCAGGGAAUAUUGCGCAAUGAGCGAAAGCUUGACGCAGCGACACCGCGUGUGGGAUGACGGUUCUAGGAUUGUAAACCACUUUCAGGAGGGAAGAAAAUGACGGUACCUCCACAAGAAGACCCGGCCAACUACGUGCCAGCAGCCGCGGUAAUACA